AGAGAGGGAGCUAAAAAGACAACUUUGUUUCCCUGAUCUUUUGCUGGGAGGAGAGGAAGAGAAUGCACAGUCACUCUGGCAGACGAGAGGAAUUGGCCGCCCUCCCCGACCCGGACAAUGGACAAAGGCGGCGAGGCAGGUGCAGCUUGGAAAGCCUCUCAUCAGGUGAGAGGCGAUACGCGUCUCCGACCGUUGCAGCAUCCAGCCGACGACAGCCCCAAGGUGACUUUAAGAAUGGGACUUGGGAGGAAAGUUUGCUGCGUUCACUUUGAACUUAAAGCCACAGAGAGCAGACGCUGAUUUAGUAAAGAUAGUUUUAUUACGGAUUUUUGAGCAUUGCUUUCAGUGAUUCGGUGAGUCAAGGACAAGACAGAGAACACAGACGAAGUAAAAGGAUUACAUUUAAAAUAUGCCAUUAUAUGAACCAGUGUUUUACUUACAUGACAAAACUGGGUAGCAUUGCACCAUCCCGUGAAUGUAACCGCAAAUGUUUGCACUUUCUGCUGAGGUGUGAAAAUACAUGAAAAAAAA